rnacentral:lncRNA from 1 species
GCAAAGAUAUUUUCGUCGGGGCAAACCUAAUCCGGCAAAUUUUGUCGGCAUAGAUCUUUGCCGACGAACUUUCGUCGGGAGAAGUGUUCAUGUGUUUUUUUUUUUUUUUUUGAAAAGUAUAAAGUUUAAAAAUAUGGAUAUGUUUAAACUAGCAAAUUAAUAUCUAUAAAGUACAGGCUAAUGCAACUUGGAGGGCCCUUCUUUCUUUUAUUUAUUUAUUAA